rnacentral:misc_RNA from 1 species
AACUUUCGGCAACGGAUCUCUUGGCUCUCGCAUCGAUGAAGAACGCAGCGAAAUGCGAUAAGUAAUGUGAAUUGCAGAAUUCAGUGAAUCUUCGAAUUUUUGAACGCACCUUGCGCUCCUUGGUAUUCCGAGGAGCAUGCCUGUUUGAGUGUCAUUAAAUUCUCAACCUUCCAACUUUUAUUAGCUUGGAUAGGCUUAGAUGUGGAGGUUGCAGGCUUCAUCAAUGAGGUCAGCUCUUCUUUAAUGCAUUAGCGGAACUUUUGUGGACCGUCUAUUGGUGUGAUAAUUAUCUACGCCGUGGAUGAGAAACAGCUUUAUCAAGUUCAGCUUCUAACCGUCCAUUGACUUGGACAAUUUUGACAAUUUGACCUCAAAUCAGGUAGGACUACCCGCUGAACUUAAGCAUAUCAAUAAGCGGAGGCU